rnacentral:rRNA from 1 species
AUACGGAGGGUGCGAGCGUUACUCGGAGUCACUGGGCGUAAAGCGUCCGUAGGCGGUCGGGUAAGUCGGGUGUGAAAGCCCCGGGCUCAACCUGGGAAGUGCACCCGAUACUGCUCGACUCGAGUGCGGGAGAGGAUGGCGGAAUUCCCGGUGUAGCGGUGAAAUGCGUAGAGAUCGGGAGGAACACCAGUGGCGAAGGCGGCCAUCUGGCCCGCACCUGACGCUGAGGGACGAAAGCGUGGGGAGCAAACAGGAUUAGAAACCCUAGUAGUCC